rnacentral:rRNA from 1 species
CCUACGGGCGGCUGCAGUAGGGAAUAUUGCUCAAUGGGGGAAACCCUGAAGCAGCCACGCCGCGUGGAGGAUGAAGGUUCUCUGAUUGUUAACCCUCUUUGUUAGAGAAGCAAAGGACGGUAUCUAACGAAUAAGCACCGGGCAAUUCCGUGCCAGCAGCCGCGGUAAAAUGGGGGGGGCAAGCGUUAUUCGGAAUCACUGGGCGUAAACGGUGGCUAGGGGGGAUAGCAAGUCCAGUGGUAAAUUCUAUGGGUUAAACAUAAUACAGCAAUUGAAACUGUUGUUCUAGAGUAUGGGAGAGGUAGGUGGAAUGCGUGGUGUAGGGGUAAAAUGCGUAGAGAUCAAGAAGAAUACUGAUUGCGAAGGCAGCCUACUAGAGCAUGACUGACGCUGAUGCACGAAAGCGUGGGGAGCGAACAGGAUUAGAUACCCCUGUAGUC